UACGAAGGGGGCUAGCGUUGCUCGGAAUCACUGGGCGUAAAGGGCGCGUAGGCGGUGCGGUAAGUCCGCAGUGAAAUCUCUGGGCUCAACUCAGAGUCUGCUGUGGAAACUGCCGUGCUUGAGUGUGGGAGAGGUGGAGUGGAAUUCCCGGUGUAGCGGUGAAAUGCGUAGAUAUCGUGAGGAAGAACCGUGGCGAAGGCGGGUCUCUGGACAGCUUCC
rnacentral:rRNA from 1 species